rnacentral:lncRNA from 1 species
UUGAAACUCAAAAGACUAUGAUACUUUGCAUAACUUCAAGAUCAGCGAUUAGUGAUCGUUGAAAUUUCAACGGAAAAUCUAGAAUUUUCCUCAACGUGUUUGACAUUGUGGACACCUAAACAAUGAAUUCAAUUUUGGACCUAAUUUGAUUGAUACGUUACCCAUCAUGCACGAUAAUUUCUUUGAAAAUUCUUUUUUGUUCAAGAAUCAUAGCCUCAAUCUAUUUAUGUAUCCUUUCUUGUCACUACUAUUAGAAUAAGAAAUCCUUCGCACCACAAGAAAAUUGAUAUCAUUUUAUGACAAAAAUUAUUUUAUCAUAUAAUUAUAAUGGAGUCGUCGUAGAAUUUUGAUCUAUCAAACUUCAUUUUAUCAUGUAAUUAUAAUGGAGUCAGUCACAGAAUUUUGAUUUAUCAAACUAUUAAUGAUGUACUUGUGAUGUAAUAUUUAUCUAUUAAUAGUUUAUGAUAUAGAAUUUUGAUAUCAACAUGUUGACCAUAUUUAAAAGUAAUAUUUUAUUUUUUAUUUUUAUAAUCAAAUCGCGGCAUUUAGGUUAUUGAAAUGAUUUUUAAAAAAAUAACGAAACACUGCGUUUAAGAAAGUGUGUCAACAAAAGCAAAAAUUUCCCAAGUCUCCCCAUCAUCGACAUUGUCACUCUCACUCACACACAGCACUCAACCCUAGCAUAGAUGCCCAUCAUCAUUCUCAAUCAAUUAGCCACUACGUACACUACCCAAACCCUAGCCGGCGGACCGUUCCUUACCCUUGUUCAAACUGCCAGCGUUCAAAUUUCCAUUGAAGCCAUUGUUUGAAUUGCGAACUAAAGCCUAGACUGAGAUUCAUCACUCGCUACUGUAUCUUGAACACAAAGAAUACUCAAAGCUAUUGUCGUGCAUGAUGGGUAAUUUCAUUUUCCAUAAUGUUAAAUACGUAGAAGAAAAUUCUACAUCUUUCGUUGAAAUUCAAGAACUUGAACAAUGUAGCGACAUGGUGAUCUUUGAAAAUUUCUUAUGGUCCACAAUAUGGCCACGUCUUAGGUUGAAACUCAAAAGACUAUGAUACUUUGCAUAACUUCAAGAUCAGCGAUUAGUGAUCGUUGAAAUUUCAACGGAAAAUCUAGAAUUUUCCUCAACGUGUUUGACAUUGUGGACACCUAAACAAUGAAUUCAAUUUUGGACCUAAUUUGAUUGAUACGUUACCCAUCAUGCACGAUAAUUUCUUUGAAAAUUCUUUUUUGUUCAAGAAUCAUAGCCUCAAUCUAUUUAUGUAUCCUUUCUUGUCACUACUAUUAGAAUAAGAAAUCCUUCGCACCACAAGAAAAUUGAUAUCAUUUUAUGACAAAAAUUAUUUUAUCAUAUAAUUAUAAUGGAGUCGUCGUAGAAUUUUGAUCUAUCAAACUUCAUUUUAUCAUGUAAUUAUAAUGGAGUCAGUCACAGAAUUUUGAUUUAUCAAACUAUUAAUGAUGUACUUGUGAUGUAAUAUUUAUCUAUUAAUAGUUUAUGAUAUAGAAUUUUGAUAUCAACAUGUUGACCAUAUUUAAAAGUAAUAUUUUAUUUUUUAUUUUUAUAAUCAAAUCGCGGCAUUUAGGUUAUUGAAAUGAUUUUUAAAAAAAUAACGAAACACUGCGUUUAAGAAAGUGUGUCAACAAAAGCAAAAAUUUCCCAAGUCUCCCCAUCAUCGACAUUGUCACUCUCACUCACACACAGCACUCAACCCUAGCAUAGAUGCCCAUCAUCAUUCUCAAUCAAUUAGCCACUACGUACACUACCCAAACCCUAGCCGGCGGACCGUUCCUUACCCUUGUUCAAACUGCCAGCGUUCAAAUUUCCAUUGAAGCCAUUGUUUGAAUUGCGAACUAAAGCCUAGACUGAGAUUCAUCACUCGCUACUGUAUCUUGAACACAAAGAAUACUCAAAGCUAUUGUCGUGCAUGAUGGGUAAUUUCAUUUUCCAUAAUGUUAAAUACGUAGAAGAAAAUUCUACAUCUUUCGUUGAAAUUCAAGAACUUGAACAAUGUAGCGACAUGGUGAUCUUUGAAAAUUUCUUAUGGUCCACAAUAUGGCCACGUCUUAGGUUGAAACUCAAAAGACUAUGAUACUUUGCAUAACUUCAAGAUCAGCGAUUAGUGAUCGUUGAAAUUUCAACGGAAAAUCUAGAAUUUUCCUCAACGUGUUUGACAUUGUGGACACCUAAACAAUGAAUUCAAUUUUGGACCUAAUUUGAUUGAUACGUUACCCAUCAUGCACGAUAAUUUCUUUGAAAAUUCUUUUUUGUUCAAGAAUCAUAGCCUCAAUCUAUUUAUGUAUCCUUUCUUGUCACUACUAUUAGAAUAAGAAAUCCUUCGCACCACAAGAAAAUUGAUAUCAUUUUAUGACAAAAAUUAUUUUAUCAUAUAAUUAUAAUGGAGUCGUCGUAGAAUUUUGAUCUAUCAAACUUCAUUUUAUCAUGUAAUUAUAAUGGAGUCAGUCACAGAAUUUUGAUUUAUCAAACUAUUAAUGAUGUACUUGUGAUGUAAUAUUUAUCUAUUAAUAGUUUAUGAUAUAGAAUUUUGAUAUCAACAUGUUGACCAUAUUUAA